rnacentral:lncRNA from 1 species
AAUGCCUCGCCCUCACAGCUAAGUGGAAACCAAACCAGCCACCAGAGAAAUGGAAGUUAGGCCAUUGUAUCAGUCAGGAUAUUCUUUUAAAUAACCAGAGGGCUUUGUUGUCUCUUAGAAUUGGAAUGUCAAGUGGGAAGAUAAGUUUCAGGGGCUGUUUGAUUGAGCAACCCAAAAAUGUCAUUAAGAAAAGAUCCGGCUUCUUUCCAUCUCUCCACUCUACUUUUUACAGGUCAAUGAAUCCAAGUUGUUUUUGUUUUGUUUUGUUUUCAUUAUGACAAAAUGGUGGCAGCCAUUCUAGACUGACACGCCACAGCAGCUGGAAGAAAGACACGAUCUUUUCCUCUGAUGCCUCUCUCAGAAGCAUUCCAGUUUAUGUCUUCCUCUUGCCUAUUUGAGGACUAAAGUCAAAAUGUCUAUACCAUCCUGUACAGCCACAUAUGGGUCUUGAGCACUUGAAAAGUGACUGGUCCAGCUUCACAUGUGCUCACUGUACCAGCCUCUGGAGGAAAUGCAAGAGACCUUCCAGACCUGAUCACCACACCCUAUUCAUAAUCUCGCCAUGGAGAAGAGACAUCCACUUAUGAAGCCAGCAGAACAGAUGUGGGCAACUUUCAAAAACGAAGUAACAAAUGGUCAGCUCCUGUUCUUCUGUAGUGCUGAGGAUGGAAGGAGAAAGAGAGUGUGGAGUGCUUCAUCUGGACAUCCACGGGAAGAAGGAAGACAUGAGGAAUUUCAACAUAUCUUGGAAAAUGACAUUCACCAAUCAAACAAAUCAGAACUAUCAAUAACUCCCAUAUAUGAAUGUGUGGGUAGAUGGGUAGUCACAAAGCUAAAGGAUAUGAACGUUAUUCCCAGUUUCUAGCAACACCACUCCCAUGAUCAUUUUUAGUUUUUUAUUUUCUGCCUCCAUAUCUUUAACAUGGGAAUGAACAUUUGAAUUUACCUACUGUUGAGAAAUUACUAAUAAUUACUUCAAAAUUUUUCGUAGAUUGCCU